rnacentral:lncRNA from 1 species
UUGUAACAGGUGACAGCUGCUGUAGUGCAGAGGUUCCCGAGAUGGAGAGCUGACACAGGACAGCAACCCAGAGAAGAAAAAAUGUGAGCUGGACCUUCAAUGCUUGGCAGCAUUGAAGAGGAAAAGCAUCUCAGAUAAAGGAAAAGAAAGACUCUGCAGUGUAGUGGCAAGAUCAUAGCUCACUAUAAACUGGAAUCUUUGGGCUCAAGUGAUCCUCCUGCCUCAGCCUCCUAAGAAGAUGAGAAAACUGAGAUCCAGAAAUUCAAGAUCAAUAACCAAUAAUUGAAAAGGAAGUAAGACAGCCUGCCUUUGGAAUAUUGUGCCACUUUACCAAUAAUUUACUCUAAUUAAAAUGAAACAAAAAUGUGUGCAUGUUAUUGGAUGUAUGGAAAGAUGCAUCAAACUAAAUGACCUCAAGGGAGAGGUGUGGCUUCCGUGAGGAAGAUGACAAGACUCCUUCUUGGUUCAACUCUACCAACUGUCUAUAGCAUUUCACAGUGUUGUGGAUGAUUAUGCUGUCUAGGGAACUGAGUAGUUACUGCACUUUCAAAAACAUCAUCUCACAGUCCUGAGUGAUCUAUCCACACAUCCAUCUUCAAGCUUCCCAAAGGCAGGAAUCACCUAUUGUUCGUCUGUAAACUCCAAUGAGAAACAUACAGUCUGGUGUAUGGGAGGUCAUCAAAACAAGUGUGGAGGUAUAAGCUAAGACUGACAACUGCCUCCCAAGUUUCUAUUCAAAAGUAAUCAUUUUGGAUGUAAAUCUCAUCAGGAAUGUGUUUAAACUCAGGAACUGCUGAAUUGUACUGUAACUUGGCUCAUCCCAAAUAGUGCAGUUGUCUUCACAAUGGAGAGACUGUCACAGCCUAAAAAGACACGUGACUCUGAGCAUCAGUUUACUGGCUGCCCACUCAAUGAUUCAGACUCCUCCAUUCUUUGUGUGGAAGAGAACUGGCCUUCCGGGAGCCUGAGGCCAAGUGAGAGAACCUUCUGAAAGCCGUCACUGCAUGGGGAGCCUGGACUUAC